ensembl:lncRNA
CUGGAGUGGGGUGCCAUUGCCUUCUCCGGCUGGGAGAGCUGACUUUGGUCAAAACCCCCACCCUUUGCCGGGUUCGCCAGUUUCCCCAGGAUCCUGGCUGCAGGCCCUGGAGCUGGUAGGGUGUCCCAGCAGGUCUCAUCCAGGUCCCCAGAGACUGUAGAGAAGGAAAGAUAAUGUUCCCUCUAUCCUUUCUGGUGAGUGCUUGUCUGAGACCCUUUUUCUCUAGGGCACCUCCUGAGUGGUGGUGAAAAGCCCUCUAUUAAUGGCCUCAGUAGUUCAGGUUAUCUUUGUGAGUUGAGUCUGCCUGUUGAGCCUAAUAACAAAACUUGAUUCACCUGUGGUGCCAGGCAGAGCCCGGUCCAGCUUACGGCAGUCCCCAUCCACCCCAGACCCAGGCUGGCUUCUGUGCCAGAUCCAGCCGGACUCCAGCCAGUUUCAGGACCCAGCACAGACAAAGGAAUGCUCAGUUGAAGUCUGAAAGCUCAGACUAGGUUCCGGGGGGACUCACUCAUGACCUCCGGAGCCGGCAAGAAACUGUGAGCUUGGGGCACAGCAGGACCAAGAUUGUGUAGUAGAAGAUGGCCUGAUUAAGUGACUUCAAGAAAUGGAGACAUCACAGUUGUUUUUAAAAUAAAGGAAGCUCACUUAUUUAAAACUCACCACACGCUACCAUUUGCCAGAAGACCCAGGCAGCUGACUUGGUGAGAGAGUCCUUACACAAACCUUGGGAGGAGAUAUUAUUAACCUGGUACGAGGAAAUAGAGGCUUAGAGAACUUCAGGGACACGCAGAUUCACCAACUUCAUAAAACACAAUGGUGGAAUCAGAAGGUAUGUCUUCUCAGUCUAGGUCUCCUUCCAGGACGCCUGUGGGAGGUUGGAUUUCUAAUGAGGGCAGGUUAGGUUGCAACUAGGACCAUCAGAUCAGAUUGCUGCUCUACUUCAUAAACCAUCUUCUGCUAAUGGUUUAAUAUAUUGUCCAAACUUGUAUGAAAAAGGUACUCUGUCAGUAAUCACUGCUCUCCCAGGUAAACUGGGAUGUAUGGUUACCCAAAAUGACAUUAAUGCAU